ACUCUGGCCAGCUUUUAUGUAGGGCAGACAUCUCAGGAGGAAGAGCCAACAGAACCAGAAGUGUUCCCAGACAUGUUGCUUCACCACCGUGCCUCUCUUUCUUUCAGCAAACAGGAGAGGUAGGAGAGGAAGGCAGAACAGAGCACUGACUCAGCCCACCUGCACCCAGGUGAAAUAAACAGCUUUAUUGCUCACACAAAGCCUGUUUCGUGGUCUCUUCACACUGACGUGCAUGAAAUUUGUUGCCAUGACUUGGAUCGGGGGACCUCCCUUUGGAGAUCAAUCCCCCAUCCUCCUGCUCUUUGCUCCGUGAGAAAGAUCCACCUAUGACCUCAGGUCCUCAGACUGACCAGCCCAAGAAACAUCUCACCAAUUUCAAAUCCGACUAAGGAAAAGCUAUAUGAGGAUACAGCAAGAGGGCAG
rnacentral:lncRNA from 10 species